UGCCAGGCUCCCAAUGGGUGCUUCCAUAAACUAUGGUUUAAAGAAAGAUGCAAGGGAGAAGAAAGGCCAAGAGACAUCAGGUGGUCCUAAAGGUAGUGAGGUCUACUUUCUCCAGCCAGCGGUUUCCAGACUUUGAAUUUCACAAAAACCAGACCAAGAAGUCCAACAUGAAAUCAUUUAAAAAUGGAGCAGCUCUGGUUAAUCCCAGCAGCUCUUCUGAAGCAGCCAGGUGGAGGGGAAAAACGAUUUGCUCAAAGUCAUCGAUGCUGGGGAGUGAUUUAGCAGGCCCCAGAGUCCUGGUCUCUGAUCCUCCAUCCAAUACUCUGUUCACUGUAC
rnacentral:lncRNA from 1 species